rnacentral:antisense_RNA from 1 species
GAGAGGUGCUACCGGCGAGCGCGAGCCCCCCGAGGGCGGCUGGAAGCCCCGGACCGUUGGUAGAGUGGAAGGGGAUAGAGAUCGGUGGGGCGAGCGUCCCCCGUGGCCAGACCUCCCCUCACCGCCCUUCCUCAGGUAUCGGGAAGAGUUGCCAGCGGCCAUCAGGGGCAGAGCAGAGAAGCAUGUGACAGGGAGCUGGAGCGGCUGCUGGCCUGGCAGCUGACUGUGAAGGGCGGCCCGCCCCGAGGGCAGGGCCUCCGUAGCGCGGGUCUUCAUUGGGGCGUGGCAUCGGCGGGGCGGGUGUCUCCAGUGGGGGCGGGGCCUCCCUGGUGGGUCCAGCACCCCAGGCACCCUGACCUGGCCUCCCACAGAGGGGCGCUUCCGGCCACGUCUGCAGCAGCUGGUGGCCACCAAUCCCCCUGAGCUGGUUGUGCACUGUUCGACCGCCACCUUCUGCCUCCUGCCAGAUGUGGGGGCUGCAGUCACCGAGCUGUGUGCCCUCUGCGGUGUGGGCCCACCACAGCCUCGGGUGAGUUGGGUGGGCACGACUUGGGUACACAGGCGUUCUUGUCUGUGAAGCGGGCAGUCUGGGCCCUUGCGUGUCGCUAGGAGCAGGAACCAUAGGGCCCUGGGCUGCUGGGAGCAGGGUCUCCCAGAGCUUGUCCUGAUGGGGUGUCUGGCUGCUUCUCCUCGCUGUUCACAGCAGUCCUGGCAGCUGGAGCUCCAGAGAUGGAGGCCUUCAUGUCAGAUGAGGCAGUGGCCACAGUGCCCGGCUGGCCGGCCCCACAGUACACCCUCAGGUACUACCUGCUGUACCUGGGCCAGGUUCAAGAGCGGGCCACAGCUCUGAGCCAAGGGGAAUGAACUGUGUGUGGGCAGGUUGGGGUGGCCCGUGCCCCUGGGCCUGAGUCCGUGUGCCCCUCCCUAGCCAGUGCCUCAGGACAGUGGACUCCCUACCUAGUGGAGACAGCACUGUGGACCUGGGCUAUGGGGCAGAGGCUGUGCCCAGACCUGCUGCCCAACCUUGGCCCCAGCCUGGCCACCCACGAGGAUGCUAGGCCAGCCAAGAAGCAUGGAACCCAGGCCGAGUGAACUUGGCCAUGGCCCAGGCCUGCUCACCUGCCACAGAACCUCAGGCCUCCGGGUCUCACUGGACGGCAGGGAGGCUGAAGAGGGGGCUGGCCACUACGGGAGCUCAAUAAACACUUCCCAAACUCC